CCGCGUGAGGGAUGACGGCCUGUGGGUUGUAAACCUCUUUUCUCAAGGAAGAAGUUCUGACGGUACUUGAGGAAUAAGCAUCGGCUAACUCUGUGCCAGCAGCCGCGGUAAUACAGAGGAUGCAAGCGUUAUCCGGAAUCACUGGGCAUAAAGCGUCUGUAGGUGGUUUAGUAAGUCUGCUGUUAAAGACUGGGGCUCAACCCCAGAAAAGCAGUGGAAACUGCUAGACUUGAGUGUGGUAGAGGUAGAGGGAAUUCCUAGUGUAGCGGUGAAAUGCGUAGAUAUUAGGAAGAACACCAAUGGCGAAGGCACUCUACUGGGCCAUAACUGACACUGAGAGACGACAGCUAGGGGAGCAAAUGGGAUUAGAUACCCCAGUAGUCCUAGCCGUAAACGAUGGAUACUAGAUGUUGCACGUAUUAACCCGUGCAGUAUCGUAGCUAAGGCGUUAAGUAUCCCGCCUGGGAAGUACGCUCGCAAGAGUGAAACUC
rnacentral:rRNA from 1 species